AUUUUUAUGGGACUGAUUAGUCCUUGUAAAAAAAGUCAAUAUAUUUCUUUUGGCAUAUGAGUUAAUCAGUCCCAUUUUUUUUUGUUAAGAAUCUCGUUGUCCUCUCGAAAUACUUAUAAGGAGUUGGGGGUUGGGUAUUCAUUCUCUUUUUUUUUAAACUAGAACAGCGUAGUAUUAAAAGUUUUUUUCUAAAAAAAAUAAACCGGUCCGAAUUUCAAAAACUGACCAAUUCACCAAUUUUCAUGAAAUCUACACGGGUCAAAUCGAUUAUCACCGAUUUUGAUGCAAGACCAGUCCUAAUCCUAUAUCCUAUCCUAUAAUCCUAUAACUAUCCUUUAAAAGAAGGUUUAUUCGGGAGUGGAAAUCCAACGUGGCAUGUUCUAGAUUCAUUCAAAACAAUUCCUUCCUUUUAUAUCAAACUCAUCUCUCCCAUUCUGCGUCAUUGUUGUCACUUGCCACAAAUGCAAUAAUUGAGCAUGAAAUUUUAAAUUUUGAAUUUUAAUUUCAAAAUCAAAAUUGAAAAAGAGAUUCAUUCUCGUCAUUUACGUUCUCCUUCCAUUCUCAUUUUCUAUUUUUCUUUCUUCUUCUUCAUCAUCAUCAUUAGUUCCUCCUCCUCCUCUUCAGUUCGUUUCUCCGUUCUCUAAUACUAUUUUUCGAUCUCUUUUUCUUCUUUAGCUUUUUUGUUCCUAAUCUAACUUGAAGGUGGAGAUUAUAGAGUUUCAAAAUAGUUGAUGUCACUGUACCUAAUGGCUCCAACCUUCAGGGGAGUCGUGGUGGUGGAAGAGACAGCAGCGGUGGUAGUAGGGGUUAUGAAGGUGGAUGCGGUGGCGACGGCGGCUAUAGUAGUGGAGGAGUCUAAGGCGGCAUGGGUCCACUGUCGUGCAUGCUACAGCCGUGGUGGAAUGGGUCAAGGAUUGCAACCAGGGAGGAGGCGGAUGCGGAAGUAGGUUUCGGCGGCGUUUGUGCCAGCAGAAGCUGCUAAAAUUCAGGUGGCAGCACCAGAUCACUCUCAAGAGACGCGCUCCCACCUAGGGGUGAAUCUGAUCAGAAUAAAUUGAAAGGAGUUAAGUUUACCUACUGACAGCAAGUAGCAACUAUACGCCUGGUUCAUCCUACACCACCCGCUCUGUCUUUUUACUUUGUGCUUUGGCAUCGUUAGCAUGAAAUUGAAGCUGUGGUGAAAGUGGAUAGUACCACACUACAGAAUUUUUGUUUAUUUGUGGAGGUUUUUUUUCCUAUUUGUGGAGGUUUCAAACCCCCACAAAAAGAAUUGUGACAAUUUCAAAAACCUCCAAAAUUUGAGGUGCCACGAGCUCCUUUGUGGCGGUUUUUCACAACCCCCACAAUGUCAUUUAGUGGCGGUUUUCUAUCCCUUUUGUGGGGGUUCUGUGCUGGUAUUUUGUGGCAGUUCUUGGUUAAUGUUUGUGGCGGUUCAAAACCCCCACAAAAAAAUUUUAUAUUAAAAAAAAAAACAGCUAUUCUAUGGGGUUUCAAACCUCCACAAACCUGUCAAUAUUAUUUUUAAAAUAUUAAUCUGGAUGUUAGAAUUACAUUAUUAUACUACUCAUCAUUUACUAUUUAAAAGAAAUACUUAAACAAGACAUUAAAAAUGUAGAAGAAAACAUGCACAAAACUAUAUGCUAUUGCUACCACAUAUCCAAAUGCAACAUCAUAUUGCUUUUUCAAGUCCAAAGCCUAGGCCAAAGAGUCCUUGCCAUCUUCAUUCAGUUUUAUGGAGAGGAUGUGAGUACUUACUUAAGGGAGAAAGAUCAUCUCUAUAAACUCUCUGUUCCAUUUUCUAUCUGUGGUCAGUAGGUUGUUUACUUUAUUAAUUGUUGGAAACAUGUUGUUGCUGGAUUGAUUGCUGAGAAUGAUAUGAUAUGGGUAUGUGGGGGGGUAAGGGGGAACUAGAAUUCUUAUCAAACAUUAACAUCAUCUCCUGACCUUAUACUCGACCUCAAAUAUUUUUCCACCACGUUCCUACCCUCUAAAAGGCUUUGCCAGUCCUAGGAAGGUUUAAUCCCUUUUUUCUACAGUCAAUGGAGACUUAUAUCUAAAGUAAUGACCUUUUAGAAUUUUGCUAAGCAGAGCAUCAGUAUUAAUAGCCAAUGUCCAAAAAUUAUUUUUUAAGCAGAGCCAGAUUUUGUGCACGCAAGUCCUUAAAACUCAGUUCUCCCUUUCUCUUAAGUCUUGUCAUUCUGUCCCAACUAAUCCAUGUGACAUUAUCCUCUCUAUGGCUCUUUGACCCACUAAAAUUGUGUUCAAAUUCUAUGAAUCUAAUCCAAUGGUGAAUCAUGUAGCUUAAAAUAGGAUAGAGUAUACACAGGAAUUGCUUCUUUUGUACCUGGUCUUUGAUGGCUCCAAAAACGGCUUCUUUAUAUCUUUGUACAAUUGACGGGAGACCUAGGUAUUUAUCUUAGGCCCUAUAUGUCCAAUAUUCAAAAUGUUUGCUAGUUGUUGUCUAAUUUGGAGAGGAGUGUUAUAACUGAAGAAGACUGUUGACUUACUUAGGUUGGUUUUCUAUCCACUAACCAUAUCGUAGUCAUAGAAUCAAGAUAUUAGCACAUGAUUCUUUUGAUGCUUUUAGAGAACAUUGUUUGCAAAGAGAAUGUGGCUGACUACUGGACAUCUUUUGUGAAUUUGAAUCCCUUGAGCAAUCCUGUUUUGCUCUAUUCUGUGUAGCAAAAAAGAAAAUUCUUCAACACUUAAAAAGAAAAGAUAUGGUCAUAGGGGGUCCCCUUGAUGGAUACCCCUAGUUGGCCUAAAAAUAUAAAAGGUUGAUCCUCCACAAGUACAAAGUAAGAAACAGUAGAAAUCAGUAUUUUGAUCCAUACUAUCCAUCUAACAUCAAAACCCAUCAUUUUCUUUAUAAACUACAGAAAACACCACUCCACUCUAUCAUAUGUCUUGCUCAUAUCCAGUUCUAGAGCAAUUUCAUUCUCCAAGUCUGAUCUUUUUUUACUUAAGAUAAAGCAUAAAUCUCAAACCUAAUCCAACCAAUCAAACCCUUGUCUCCCAAAUGUUGCAGCCCUAAGUUUAACUUUCCUUCUAACUUCACUCCUCAAUCAGAAUCAUCUCCUGCUUCUAUCUAUAACCGUUAAAUAAAGGAGAAAAAACAAAACUCAAUUUUGUAUUCUAAUAAUCCUAAUUCAUCCUAUCAAAUAAAUAUUUCAAAAUAACAAUGAUAAUUGAAUUUCAACAAUGUAUAUUGAACCCAAAAAAAUUGGGAAAAAUCACCAGGUUGCGAUAGAACAUAAAUUGGGAGCACAAGAAUCAGAAUUAAGAGGGAGAUUAAGGAACUCAUACCUGAUGACUAGAGCGUGAUUCAGAUUUAUAUGAAAAUUAGCACUAGCUUGUCCGAGAAAAGGAUUCAGAUCAUGAUUAACAUUGAGAUAAAAACUUGGAAGAGAUUCGAGCGAUGAAAAAGAUGGAAUGAUAGAGAUGUGAGAAGAAGAAUAA